UUAGAUGGCAGGGGCCACUCUAUAGAGUUCGCAGACCAAAUAUAAAAUGCAGUGAGUACAUUUGCAUAUAAAUUUCAAAGCCUUGCAGGGCCAUCGUCCCCAUCAGCCCCCCUUGAGGGUUGCUUCCCUACUGCUGCCUUUGCAGCUUGUUUCAAGGGAUUAGGUCACUGUUUUUGGGUCUGCCCUGGGGAGAUCCACCAGCAGGCGAAUCAAUAUAGUUCGGUGCAUAAAUGGAGACCUCAGCUUUUUUAGCAUAGCCUUUACUUAAGGCAUUCAUGCUGUAGAAUGUCUGGCCUAUAUCACUUUCUAUCACUUUUUUUGCAAAUCAAAUGAAAAAGCGCUAAUGAAACCAGAUCAACAAAUCGUCUCCAGCGACGAGGGAGAAAGUAGAGAGAGAGUAACAGAAGAAAUGGCAGAACAGAGCUUUCUGGAUUUGAAACCCAAGUUGAGAAAAAUCCGGGUUUCAUCCUUCUCUCAUCCUUCUAGAUCUGCCAUCCUGCGCUCAAGCUUGGUGCCAUACUGAUUGUUAUAAAAAUGAUAUAGGCCAGACAUUCUACAGCAUGGAAGCUCUUCUGUGUUAUGUAAACUAUGCUAAAAGAGCUGAGGUCUCCAUUUACGCACGGAACUAUACUCCUUUAACUGUUGGUGCAUCCCAAGGCAGAAAAAAACAGUGACUUAAUCCCCCAAAGGUAAGGAAACAAGCUGAAAAGGCAGCAGCAGGGAAGCAAUGCUCAAAAGAUCUCAUGCAUGCUUCCAACCAAAGUCAUGAGGAAAGCGAUAACCCAGAAGAGGUAUCUCUGCCUGGUGAACUUCCAAAGAAAGUUUGUCAUGAUAAGGCCCCUAAUUCAGCCUCUGCGUCUCAUGACGAGGAGGAGGCUCAAUUCCAUCUAAGCAAGUAUUACCAAUAAAGAUGCUCGGAAGUUGUGAGCCUAAGCAUGUACAAGCUUUGAUCAAUGGUCAAGCUGGGGCAAACUUAUCAACAAGCUUGAGCCAUGUUGGGGAUAAAGGAGGUUGCACAACGUGUUGAGGAGGCAAGUUGCUGAGGUAAACUACUGAACAAUGGAGAACACACCAAUAUCAAAUGUAAUCCAUAAAUAUAGCAGUUUGUGAGACUCUGAAAGCCAUUUGGAUUGUUUUUAUGUUUGUUUGUGCUUUUUACACGACACCCUAUACAUCUUUUGAAACUCAAAAGACUUGACGUGGUUUAAAUCUAAUAAAUAGUAUUUUUAAUAA